AGUAUCUGAGCCCAAGGGACACUCCCGUGUGAUUUGGUCUCCCUAACCGCUCCCCUACCUCCCUUCAAGUUAAUGUUGGAGCUUCUCCAGGGCUGACUUGGGAGAGGAGCCGGCAGACCGGGCCAGUGCACCCUCUUGGCAGGAAGCCUGCGUGUGGGAAAUAAAUCCCAGCAAAGCCCCAGGAAUUGGCGGUGUAAAGGGCUUGUGAGCUGGGAAUCAUGUGCCCUCUAGUGGUCAUCUCUAGGAAGUCCCAACCAGAUGGUCAUUUCCACAGAAAACAGCAGGAGGAACCGCUACAGAGUAUGGGAGACAAGAAGAGAAUGCCUCCUAACACCUACAUAAUAAGCUGUAAUGGUGGAAAGCCAUUUGCUUUUGAAUUUUAUUGAAAAUGCCAAAUACAGGUCGUGAAUAUUGAAAUGGACGUCUGAGCGGUGCACAAAUCCUCGCAGGUCUUACUGAAGCUUCCCAGGAUUAGCUUCCCAGCACAGAGCUCCUAAGGCUUGAUUGGGUUUGCAAAGCAAGGAUGCUGAGCUGGAGAAAAUCAACUAGCCAGAAGUCAUCUUGGGAAGGGAAAGUUAUUUCUGAUGGGAAAAUAUUUGAUAAGAAGCUGAUGCCUGUGUGGACAGAAUGGUCUAGGGUUUGUUUUUGUUUGGUUGGUUUUUUUGUUUUGUUUUGUUUCUUUUUUGUUUUUGAAAUGGAGUCUCGCUCUGUUGCCCAGGCUGGAGUGCAGUGGUGCAAUCUCGGUUCACUGCAACCUCCACUUCCCAGGUUCAAGCCAUUCUCCUGCCUCAGCCUCCCGAAUAGCUGGGAUUACAGGCGCCUGCCACCAGGCCCGACUAAUUUUUGUAUUUUUAGUAGAGAGGUGAUCCACCCGCCUCAGCCUCCCAAAGUGCUGGGAUUAUAGGUGUGAGCCACUGUGCCUGGCCUGUUCUAUUUUAUUAUUAUUGUUAUUCAUCUCUUAUUGUGCCUAGUUUAUACAUUAAACUUUAUCGUAGGUACAUAUAUAUAGCAAAAGACAUAAUAUAUAUAUGGUUCAGGCAUCCACUGGGGGUCUUGGAAUGUAUCACCCACAGAUAAAGGGAAACUAUUGUAACUUCAGUUGAGAAAAGCUCAUAGUCAAAUGCUUCUCUCUGACUUAACGUACUGCCCAUCUAUUGGUACUAGAAAAGUCAAUGUUAUAACAGCCCUAAAACUGCCAACACAUGUGAAAAAUAUUUAGCUUUUUGUCUAACGAUGGGACCCAACUGACCAAAUAAAACCCAAAUAAAGGACCUGUAACUGCUCAUAUCUUUCAUGUGUGCCUGCAAGCAAAUUUUAUAUUCCUUCCCACUGAGAUUUCUUUCUUUCAAAAUAUUCCAGGUAUGUGGCUUCAAAGCAUGUGGCAUCUGACAUGUGGACACAUUGAGAGUAGGAUGAGAUUGUAUUUACCUUUGCCUUGCUGGAGCUUAGCACCUUUGUGGUGUCUUUUGAUAAAUGGGAAGUGACAAAUGUUCUCACGUGGGCAGCAGGAAGGAUUCAUAUGCUCCUCCAAUUUUACAGCAACAGACAACAAAUGAAAAGGAAGGGCUUAGUCAUGCAGGGGCACACUCUCACCUCAUCACUAGAUGACAGUGCAGCACCCCAGACUCACAGCUUGCCCAUAAGUCUUGCAUUUAGUGCAUGAGGAUUCCAUUCAGAUGCCACCGAAUGCCAUUUCCAUGAUCUGGACUGACUUUUCUUUUUUCAGGCACAAUAAAGUAAAGACAAUUUGGAGUCAUUUGCCUUGUUUCUUCAAUAAAAGAAAGACUUGGAUUUACACAGCC
rnacentral:lncRNA from 10 species